rnacentral:rRNA from 1 species
UACGUAGGGGGCAAGCGUUAUCCGGAAUCAUUGGGCGUAAAGCGCGUGUAGGCGGUUCCGUAAGUCCGCUCUGAAAGCCCAGGGCUCAACCCUGGGAGGCGGGUGGAUACUACGGAACUGGAGUACGGAAGAGGAGAUUGGAAUCCUGGUGUAGCGGUGAAAUGCGCAGAUAUCAGGAGGAACACCAACAGCGAAGGCAGAUCUCUGGGACGUUACUGAGCUGAGACGCGAAAGCGUGGGGAGCAAACAGG